UGAUGUAACUUCCUGUUGCAGCCAUAUUGCAAUGCCAGGUGUUGAAGGAAGGUGAUGUUCAAUCCUUUGCCAUGCUGCUCUCCAUGGAUCUUAAGAGGCACUACUUCAGGCAGAGCUGAGGAUGAGAAUGGAAGGAGGAGGAGGAGAGCGGAAACGUCCACUUGCUCUGGAAUCACAUGUACAUUGCUGCAGUAAAUGUCACCAAAAACCCCUGAAAGGGAGUUUUGACUUUUAUUCUGUGUAAACCUUUAUUUAAUCGGGUUUUACCGGAGUUGGCAUCCUCCAUGUUGCAUGACUGCAACCUUCUGGUUUUAGUCCUCAUCAGUGUCCCAUUAUUCUGUAUCUGUUUAAUUAGUCUGGUUGUCCUCAAAAAACAAACAAACAUAUACUUCCAUACUGCUUUCUAUACUGAUUUCUGAUAAUCCUAAUUACUGUAAUUGUGUAACAAUUUCCUGUGUAUUUCCUGUAUGAUAUAACAUGUUGUAGUGUCUCUGCUUCCUGACACUGCUCACAAUGGCCUGUGUUAUGUUUUUCUACAUUGAAAAGUGUGCUGUUAAGA